GUCAACGCCGUAAACGGUGGGCACUAGGUGUGGGGGACAUUCCACGUUCUCCGUGCCGAAGCUAACGCAUUAAGUGCCCCGCCUGGGGAGUACGGCCGCAAGGCUAAAACUCAAAGGAAUUGACGGGGGCCCGCACAAGCGGCGGAGCAUGCGGAUUAAUUCGAUGCAACGCGAAGAACCUUACCUGGGUUUGACAUAUGCCGGAAAGCUGCAGAGAUGUAGCCCCCGCAAGGUCGGUAUACAGGUGGUGCAUGGCUGUCGU
rnacentral:rRNA from 1 species